AUUUUUAAGAUGAAAAAAACUCCCAGUUAUGUAAAUGCACAAAGAUCUUAAUAUACAUAAUGUAUAAAUUGGCAAUGACAUAACACCUUUUUCAUGAAGCUCAUGUCAUUGAAUCUAUAGGUAUAAACAUUUCCGCUGGUCAGAACUUAUCGCCAUUGUUCUCUAGAGGUAUCGUGCUCGCCACCAGUGCUGGAGCUAAUUAAUUCAAAAUGAGUCACAAAUGGUCAUGAAUAUGUCCCAUGUGUCGUAUAUACGUAGUUCGCACAAUCACGUUCUACAACCAUGCAAUUUCCUCGAUGUAAAUGCAUUUAAACACUUGAUAUUUACUUGCAAUGAGAAUUGAUAGAGCGCAACCCUGUUCAAUAUUUUGUUUUAGUCAUAAUAUUUUAUGUUUUCACUAGCAUAAGCAAUUUACAUAAAAAUGAAAAAUUUUGAUUAGAAUUUAAGAAAGAAAAAAAUAAGCAGAAAAACGUUUAAAAAAAAUCAGAAGAC
rnacentral:lncRNA from 1 species